rnacentral:rRNA from 1 species
CACUUGGUGUCUUCCUACUAAGCAAUUCCUGCUCGGUGUGUUGAAUUAACAGCAGCGGUAUCUUGACCGUUCAAAGGUAGCAUAAUAAGCUUAAUAAUUGUAAGCCUGUCAACGGAUAUAUGGGUUUAAAUAAGUCAAAAACUAUUAAAGAAUAAAUUACCUUAAAAGUAAAAACUCUUUUACUUCUUAAAAAGACGAUAAGACCCUAGAAUUUUUUAUUUUUCGUUUAGAUGGGGAAUCUCAGGUAAAAAAAACCUCCUUAAAAAUACUCUAGGGAUAACAGCCCCAUUUGGGAGUGACUCUCAAGAUUGGGACCUCGAUGUUGAAUUAGGGGCCAUAGCCCCCAGAAGGGGCUAUGUUUGGUCUGUUCGACCAGUUUACCCU